AACUAUAACGGUCCUAAGGUAGCGAAAUUCCUUGUCAGGUAAGUUCUGACCCGCAUGAAAGGCGUAAUGAUUUGGGCACUGUCUCAACAGCCCGCCCGGCGAAAUUGUAGUACCGGUGAAGAUGCCGGUUACCCGCGACAAGACGGAAAGACCCCAUGGAGCUUUACUGUAGCCUAAUAUUGGGUUUCGAUGUUGCAUGCACAGGAUAGAUGGGACACAGGGAAACAGGAGCUUUGGCUUCUGCGGAGUGGCCGUUGGGAUACCAUCCUUGCGAUAUUGGAAUUCUAACCUGCGGCUCUGAAUCGAGUCGGGGGACAUUGUUAGGUGGGCAGUUUGACUGGGGCGGUCGCCUCCUAAAAAGUAACGGAGGCGUUCAAAGGUUCGCUCAGCUUGAACGGAAAUCAAGCAAAAGAGUGCAAACGCAGAAGCGAGCCUAACUGCGAGACUGACGGGUCGAGCAGUAACGAAAGUUGGAGUUAGUGAUCCGGUGGUAUGUGAGUGGAAAUGCCAUCGCUCAACGGAUAAAAGUUACCCUGGGGAUAACAGGCUGAUCUCCCCCAAGAGUCCACAUCGACGGGGAGGUUUGGCACCUCGAUGUCGGCUCAUCGCAUCCUGGGGCUGUAUUCGGUCCCAAGGGUUUGGCUGUUCGCCAAUUAAAGCGGUACGCGAGCUGGGUUCAGAACGUCGUGAGACAGUUCGGUCCCUAUCUGUCGUGGGCGCAGGAUAUUUGAUGGGAGCUGUCCCUAGUACGAGAGGACCGGGACGGACGUACCUCUGGCGCACCAGUUGUUCCGCCAGGAGCAUAGCUGGGCAACUACGUACGGAUCGGAUAAACGCUGAAAGCAUCUAAGCGUGAAGCCGACCCAAAGAUAAGAUAUCCCAUUGUUUUAAACAAGUAAGACCCCUUGAAGACUACAAGGUCGAUAGGCACGAUGUGUAAGUGGAGCGAUCCAUUCAGCAAGCGUGUACUAAUAGGUCGAGGGCUUGACCAC
rnacentral:rRNA from 1 species